ACACAAGCCAUUCACACUGAGGCAUGCGCUUUAUUGGCAAAUGAAUAUCGUGGCGAGGAAUCUUUUGAAGCAAUACUCAGUAAGUCGGCGGGUGGAUCACAAAUCCUGAAAUACUAUGCGCAAAAAAAGUGUCUCACUCCAAAGUAUAGGAAACUUCUAGCUGCAACAGUUGCAAAUUAUUUUAUUUCUGCUGAAGUACAUCCAAACCCUAAAACAUUUGAAGCUUUCGCCAAUAAAAUUGUGGAUUUAUUUACGAGUGAAUCUAAAGAUAUAUAUUACAUUCAUAAGAAAGGAAAAAAGCCAGGUGGAUCUCUGUAUGCUAAGUACCACAGUGUAUUAUUGAAACUUAGACGGGAUG